AGAGAGAGACAUGCGCGCAUAUCAAUAAGCGGAGGAAAAGAAACUAACAAGGAUUCCCCUAGUAACGGCGAGUGAAGCGGGAAGAGCUCAAAUUUGAAAUCUUAAAGGGUUCCCCUUUACGAAUUGUAGUUUAAAGGAAGUGUUUUCUGUUGAGGUUUUGGUAAAAGUUCUUUGGAAUAGGACAUCAUAGAGGGUGAGAAUCCCGUAUUUGACCUUUACUUUCAACUUUGUGAUACACUUUCAAAGAGUCGGAUUGUUUGGGAAUGCAGUCCAAAAUGGGUGGUAAAUUUCAUCUAAAGCUAAAUAUUGGCGAGAGACCGAUAGCGAACAGGUACCGUGAGGGAAAGAUGAAAAGAACUUUGAAAAGAGAGUUAAACAGUACGUGAAAUUGUCAAAAGGGAAGCGUUUGACACCAGUGUUGUUUUUCUGAAAAUCAACUUAAAGAACUGUUUAUGCUAAGCUGUUUAGACUUUAUCAGCUAACUGUUUAGUUUUGAGCUUUUCUUUAAUGCACUUUUCAGUUAACAAGUCAACAUCAAUUUCUUUUGCUGUAAAAAAGCUUGAGGAAGGUGGCUUGAGAUUCGUCUUAAGUGCUUAUAGCCUCUUGCCUAUGCAGUCGGAGAGAUUGAGGUCUGCAGCGUAGAUCCUUCGGGGCUAAAUGCAUUUGUGCUAAGUUAUAGCAUUUUAUAGACAACUUGUUGACUAUGAUUUGUCUUGUAGCUUACUCGCUUAUGUUAUUUUACCUACGCUUAGGAUGUUGAGCGCAUGUCUCUCUCU
rnacentral:rRNA from 1 species